rnacentral:rRNA from 1 species
UAGCUAACGCAUUAAGUUCCCCGCCUGGGGAGUACGGCCGCAAGGCUGAAACUCAAAGGAAUUGACGGGGCCCGCACAAGCGGCGGAGCAUGCGGAUUAAUUCGAUGCAACGCGAAGAACCUUACCAAGGCUUGACAUAGCCGAGAACGCUGUAGAGAUACAGAACUCUUUGGACACUCGGUUACAGGUGGUGCAUGGUUGUCGUCAGCUCGUGUCGUGAGAUGUUCGGUUAAGUCCGGCAACGAGCGCAACCCUCGUCCUAUGUUGCCAGCACGUUAUGGUGGGAACUCAUGGGAUACUGCCGUGGUCAACACGGAGGAAGGUGGGGAUGACGUCAAGUCAUCAUGCCCCUUAUGUCUUGGGCUUCACGCAUGCUACAAUGGCCGAUACAAAGGGCUGCGAUACCGCGAGGUGGAGCGAAUCCCAAAAAGUCGGUCUCAGUUCGGAUUGGGGUCUGCAACUCGACCCCAUGAAGUCGGAGUCGCUAGUAAUCGCAGAUCAGCAACGCUGCGGUGAAUACGUUCCCGGGCCUUGUACACACCGCCCGUCAAGUCAUGAAAGUCGGUAACACCCGAAGCCGGUGGCCUAACCCUUGUGGAGGGAGCCGUCGAAGGUGGGACUGGUGAUUAGGACU